rnacentral:rRNA from 1 species
UACGGAGGGUGCGAGCGUUGUCCGGAAUCAUUGGGCGUAAAGCGCGUGUAGGCGGUCCGGUAAGUCCGCUGUGAAAGUCGGGGGCUCAACCCUCGGAUGCCGGUGGAUACUGUCGGGCUUGAGUACGGAAGAGGCGAGUGGAAUUCCUGGUGUAGCGGUGAAAUGCGCAGAUAUCAGGAAGAACACCCGUGGCGAAGGCGGCUCUCUGGGACGGUACUGACGCUGAGACGCGAAAGCGUGGGGAGCGAACAGG